AUUCUACUCCCUCCGUUGCACAAUACAUGCCUUCUAUUUGUCAAAAUAUAUAUGUAUCUAGACAUGUUUUAGUAUAUAGGCACAUCCAUUUUUGGACAAAUGUAAGUCAAGUAUUUUGGAAUGGAGGGAGUACACA
rnacentral:pre_miRNA from 1 species